GUUCUGAAAGUCUUCGAGUCCGCCGCGAUUUUCUAGGUUCUGGAAACGGUCUUAUCCCACGAGUGAUCUCCUCGGUGACGUAAGUCACUUUCGUUCUACUCUGCUACGGCUCCUUGCGUCUGUUGGGUCUUUGGAUGAUUUCUCGUCGUGCGAUUGGGAUGUCCAUUUUUAUAGAAGAAGUGUGAAGUGCUCAAACCAUGUGUGGAUCGUGAGCUGACGGAGGGUGGAAAGAAUCAUUCUGUUAGAGGAGAAUUUUCCCCAGAUUUGGUGGGGACCAAAAUUAUUGUGGUAAUGUAUGUUACGAAGCUCAUGUAAGUGGUCCAUUCUGCAGCAAGGUUUUCACUCACAUCAUGGUUUGUCUGUCUCUUUGCUAAGUUCAUGGCAUGAUGGUUUAGACACUCACGGUAUCAAGAUUGGAAUUCGAUGCAUCCAUAUACCAAUGGCCAACCAAGGAUCAAAAUGGAAUUUGAAGAUGUGAUUAGAAUUAGGAUAGGGGAUUUGGGAUGAAAAGAGGUUGGGUUGACUUUGGUCAACAUUACCAAAUUUUGUAUUUUUUCAAAUAAUAGGCCUUUUAGGGAUUAUAAUUAAUGAUGUUUGUUUAUUUGAAUGAAAUUUAUUGGCUUUGAAUUGAA